rnacentral:tRNA from 1 species
GCACCUGUAGCUCAAUUUGGCAGAGCAGCGGACUCUUAAUCCGUUGGUUGAAGGUUCGAGUCCUUCCAGGUGCA